GUACAUUCUUGAGCCGAUAUUGUUACCCAGGGGGCUAAAAUCUAGUGAUGUGAGCAUGUCCGCUCGACGGAAAGCCUAAUUCAUUAGUCGUUGCUCCCACUUGAACCUAUGGGUUCAAGGAAAACGGAGUCCACGGUAUUUGCGGAGAACGC
rnacentral:other from 1 species